GGGCCUAUAGCUCAGCUGGUUAGAGCGCACGCCUGAUAAGCGUGAGGUCGAUGGUUCGAGUCCAUUUAGGCCCAUUU
rnacentral:tRNA from 1 species